rnacentral:tRNA from 1 species
AAGAAUUUAAGUUAAUAGAAACUAUUGACCUUCAAAGUCAAAAAUAGAUUAAAUCUAAAUCUUA